GGGCCCGUGGCUCAGUGGUAGAGUGCUUGCCUUGCAUGCAUGAGGUCCUGGGUUUGAUUCCUCAGCACCA
rnacentral:tRNA from 1 species